UGACUAGAGAGAUUGAGAGAUAAGAUCAGCAAGGCUUUAAUUGUUUCUUAACCUGAGCGGCUAAGGAUAUGGUUGAAUGAAUAUUAUUAUUUAACUGCAUCAAUUUAGAGAGCAUCCUGGAGAUAAGCCUUAGAACGGUUGGGCUGAGAGCCUUCUUUUUUAAAGACUAGUGUACAGAUGUUCUUCUAAAAGAAGCAUCAAAAACCAAGCCUUGACUUCUAACAUUCACUAGUGCUUUGGUAACUCAGAAAAUGUACCUUAAAAAACCUCUCAGAUGGCGUGGUAUAUUCUUAUUGCUCCCUUUGUAUUUGCACUGUGAACUGUGCGUCAUGAUGAAACAACGUGAAUGGUGGAAGAGAGCUGGGUGAUUUUUCUGAGUGGUUUUUCUCAGUUGCCAUAGCAUUGCCCUUAAAACAGUAGGUUGAUUAAUUAGUCCUUACAAAGUUCUACAGAAUUCUUAAGCAACCGGUUCGA
rnacentral:lncRNA from 1 species